GCCGCGAUGGUGAGCGACGAUGGCGAGAGCCGCGAUGGUCGGUGGUGGAAGUUCGAUGGUGACUGUUAGCAGGGAUAUCAAUUUCGAUCUGUCCUCUCCCAUUCACCAGGAGAAAGAUGCAGCUCUUGGAAAUGGGGGUCUGGGAAGGCUUGCUUCUUGCUUUCUAGAUUCUAUGGCAACAUUAAAUUUGCAUGCAUGGGGGUAUGGUUUGAGGUACAGAUAUGGGCUGUUCAAGCAGCGGUUUGGCAAAGAGGGCCAAGAAGAAAUUGUCGAAGACUGACUUGAGAAGUUUAGCCAUUGGGAAGUUGUCAGACAUGACAUUGUGUUCCCUGUCAGAUUUUUUGGUCAAGUUGAAGUACAUCCCUCUGGAUCGCGGAAAUGGGUUGGUGGGGAGGUUGUACAAGCUCUAGCAUAUGAUGUUCCUAUUCCAGGAUACAAAACCAAGAACACUAUUAAUCUUCAUCUGUGGGAAGCCAAAGCUGGUGCUGAAGACUUCAACCUCUUUCAAUUUAAUGAUGGACAGUAUGAAUCGGCUGCACAGCUCCAUUUUAGAGCUCAGCAGUGAUCUGGAAAUGUGCCUUUGCAAAUUUGUGCUGUUCUUUAUCCUGGGGAUGCCACAAAAAAUGGAAAGCUUUUGCGAUUGAAGCAACAAUUUUUCCUGUGCAGUGCAUCACUUCAG